AAGACGCGAUUGGUCCGCGGAAUCGGAGAGGCGGAAAACCCGGGCUGGAUUUCUGGUUGCUUUUGUUCCCGCAAAUUUGCGUGGAGCAUUGUUUUUCGGCGAAAACGGGGCGUUCGGCCUUCCUGCUUUAUUUUUGAGCGGUGUAAGAGGGAGGUAGUGGGUAUCUUCGAGAAACGGCCGCCGCGGGGUCCGGAGCCCCGGGUUCCAAUCCCGGGUCGGCCACUGCAAAGCUGUGUGACCUUGGGCGAGUCACUUGGCCUCUCUGAGCCCCAGGCGCCUCCCCGGGAAAAAGAGGGAUAUGGUCCAAGGUGCUGAAAACUUCCUAACAAAACUCUUCAGCCGAAUCUGGCACGCCUGUGGUUCCAGCUACUGGGUAGACCGAGGCAGGAGGAUCGCUUGAGGCCAAGAGUUUAAGACCAACCUGGGCAACAUGAUACAGAAAAGAACACAUAGAGACUUCGGGGGAAAGGAGACUAUGUGCAAGAAUGGCAGAGAUUGGAGCCAAGGAGUGCCUGGGCCUACCAGAGGCUGCAAGAGACAGGGAGGACCCUCCCCUAGAGCCUCCAGAGGGAACAGAGCCAUGCCCACACCUUGACUUUGGACUCCUGGCCUCCAGAACUGUGAGAGGACCUAGGACCCCACGAGAGGAGGGAUCUGGAGGCCAAGCCAGGAGCAGGACAACACCAACAGAGGCCUCAGAAGAAGACUCAGAGUGGGACAGGGGCUCCUUAAGUGAUUGGGGCUGGAAGUGCGCAGAGAAGCCCGGCGCGGCAGGGAAUUGUCUCUCCCUGGGGUGCUGCCAAGGUGUGUGUGGUCUCUAGCUGCAACGUGCGCUUCCUUCCCUUGGCCUGACUCCUGCUUUCCUGUCAUUGAGAAGGUUUGGGACCUGACACCCUGAGCAUGGAGGCCAUAAAUCCAGUGGAUCCCUAAAUUUCCUGAUGGGGUCCUGGCUCCAGGCCUCGGUGCCUGACAGCCUCGUGUAAUUGACAAAACCCCAUGGAGCUGUUUCUGAUACUGAAUUCCCAUCACGCAGAUACUGAAUGGUCAAGGGCUUCAGCCCGGGCCACACAGUUAGUUCAUGUUGGAAUUGGAUUCUGCCCUAAGUCAAUUGCCCAUAGACUCUGCCCCUCCCAGGAGGAAACCACAAAUGUGACAUAUUGUUUAUUUGCUAUUUUUGCAAAGGUGUCUGUUGCUUGCCAGCUUUUCCAGCCAUGACUGCAGACAAAGUCCACCUAGAGUCAUAAAUGGGCAAUCAGCCCCGAACAACGUCCAGACCCGGUUUCUGCACGGCGAGGCGUUUUUGUCCAUGGCAGACUUGCUUACCCGGGUGUCUUUGGUGUGGGGCUAGAUGCAGCAUUUCCCCAGUGGGAAUGGCCCGGGGUCUUAUUUAAAGUGGAGGGUCCUAGGCCUGGCCCCACGUAUGGAGUCAGGGUCCCUAGGGGUAGGACCUUGGAAUCCGCAUUUUUUUUUUUUUGAGACAGGGUCUCCCUCUGUCACCCAGGCUGGAAUGCAGUGGCGCGAUCUCAGCUCUCUGAAACCUCUACCUCCUGGUUCAAGCGAUUCUCCUGCCUCGGCCUCCCGAGUAGCUGGUAUUACAGGCACGCACCACCAUGCCUGGCUAAUUUUCUAUAUUUUUAGUAGAGAUGGGGUUUCAUCAUGUUAGCCAGGCUGGUCUCCAACUCCUGACCUCAAGCCAUACACUGGCCUCCGCCUCCCUAAGUGCUGGGAUGACAGGUAUGAGCCACCGUGCCUGGCCAGGAAUUUGCAUGUUUGCUAGUAACCCUGCUCAUCUCAGUGCACACCAAAGUUUGAAACCACUGUUGGGGUGUGGAGCUCUUGCUUCCAGACUUCCAGGGCCUAUGGAUUGAACAACGGCAGCCACAGUAGUAAUUAGAAUUUUCAGUCUCAACCACAAGCCUGCCACGCAACAAGGGUUUCCUCCCGUUUUACAGAUGAGGGACCUGAGGCUUCAUAAGGCUGUUAUUGACCUGAGGUCGCACAGCUGAUGGCUCCUGGGUUCUUAGCGUUAAGUUUUGCGGCCUUAUUUCUGUUGUAUAUUUGUUUCUCGUAUUUCUGUGCUUCUUGCACUGCAAUUGUGAUAUCCUCUAAAAGCCAAGGAUGAACUCACUGCUGACCUUGGUUUUAUUUGUUUGUUUGUUUUCACCUUCACUUGUGAAAUGUGCAAACAUACUCAAAAGUCAAGAGAAUCAUAUGGUGAUUUUUCAUAGUCCCCUUUGGCCAGCUUCAGCAAAGAUGACAUUUUGCCACUCUUACUCCAUCCAUUUCUCUCACCCCACCCCCGACAUACACACAUGUUCUUUCUGGAGUAUUUUCAAGCAAAUACAGGAUUUUUAAAAACAUGUAAAUGACUGUGUUGUUUUGUCUGAUUAUGAUGCAAUACAUGUUCCUUAUGAACAUAUUAUAACUCGCUAAAAAACAAUAUAAAAAGCUACAAAUCAUCUCACUUCCCAGUCAUAACCAACUCUAAAAGAUACUCUUCUAGACACUUUUGUAUUCAAAUAUAUUUAUGCACACAUACUUUUACAAAAAAAAAGUAUACGACACAAAAAUAGGAUGGUACUCCACAUUUUGCAAUCUAUUUUUUUCACUUAACAAUACAUCCCAAAUGUCUUUUCAUAUCCAUGACUCUAUUCUAAAUCAUGGCUCUUAAGGGCAACACAAAUCUUUGUUUGAUUUAGCAUGAUUUAUUCAAAGAAUCCCCUCUAGUUGGGCAUUCAGGUUGUUUCUAUGCUGAGAGAGUUUCCAAAGGCAGUCCUGCUUACCCUGGACUUUUCAAGAGGUUGACACCCGAUCUGUCGCCUCUAGAUCCUGUGUAGAGUUCAGAGAAGUAUCAAGAAAGUGGAAGAACUGGAGAGCUUCCCAAUGCCAUCUGAAUCAUCUUCACGUUACCAUCACUGUUUUGUUUGAAAUGAAGUCUCAAGACAUGAGACACUCCCAGACUCAAGUGUGGUUAAAAAAAACAUUCCAAAGGCAUAUAACAUAUUGUUUGGGUGAUGAGGUGUAACUCUAAAAGCUCUGUUUUUGAACAAACAUACCAGGGCUCACCCAAACCCAAAACUCUGUCUCCUUCAAAGUCGUCACUCUAGAAGGCAGUACUCACACUGGGAUAAAACUGUAAUUGCUUGAAAAUACAUCUGUGAAUUCCUCUUUUAAAACUGUUUCAGGAUCUGGUGUCAGUAACUUUGGGACGUACUGCAGGCUGGAAAGCCUUCACGAUUCAAGGUGGAUUGAUUUCUAUAAAUAGCCUGUGCCCACCAAAUAAAUUAGAAACAACAGAAUCUAUGAUGUCUAGCUUGAGCAGAAACAGAUUUAUUAAAUUAUAACGACAUCUCAAAGUCUCUGGAAGGGAGAGAGAACUAGGUGGGGAUGCCAUUUUUUGUAUCUUGUUCAAUAAGAUGCCUGUUUUUGCCCGUUUUCUAUCAGGUUUUUGGUCUAUGUUUCUCUCCAUUUUUAAGAGCUUUUAUUGCGCGGGUGUGGCAGUGCAUGAAUCCCAGCACUUUGGGAGGCCGAGCUGGGCAGAUCACUUGAGGCUGGGAGUUCAAGACCAACCUGGCCAGCAUUGUGAAACCCCCGUCCCUACUAAAAAUACAAAAACUAGUUUGGUGUGGUGGUGGGCACCUGUAAUUCCAGCUACUUGGGAGUUUGGGGCAGGAGAAUCGCUUGAACCUGGGAAGCGGAGGUUGCAGUGAGCUGAGAUCACGCCACUGCACUCCAGCCUGGGUGACAGAGCAAGACUUCAUCUCCAGCCUGGGUGACAGAGCAAGACUUCGUCUCAAAAAAGCAAAACAAAACAAAAACAACAAAAACUAAAUAAAUAAAUAAAUGAGUUUGAGGGCCAUGCAAAAAAUAAAUGAGUGACACUGGAUGGUAUGAUAAAAUAGGGGGUGGUAAGGCUUGUGGCCAGUCAGAGAUUAAAACUACUUGUUGUUUGUUUGUUUAAGAGACAGGGUUGCCGGGCGCGGUGGCUCACGCCUGUAAUCCCAGCACUUUGGGAGGCAGAGGCGGGCAGAUCACUAGGUCAGGAGAUCGAGACCAUCCUGGCUAACACAGUGAAACCCCAUCUCUACUAAAAAUACAAAAAAUUAGAAGGGCGUGGUGGCAGGCGCCUGUAGUCCCAGCUACUCGAGGGGCU
rnacentral:lncRNA from 1 species